rnacentral:rRNA from 1 species
AUUGAACGCUGGCGGCAUGCCUUACACAUGCAAGUCGAACGGUAACGCGGGGCAACCUGGCGACGAGUGGCGAACGGGUGAGUAAUGUAUCGGAACGUGCCCAGUUGUGGGGGAUAACUGCUCGAAAGAGCAGCUAAUACCGCAUACGACCUGAGGGUGAAAGCGGGGGAUCGCAAGACCUCGCGCAAUCGGAGCGGCCGAUAUCAGAUUAGGUAGUUGGUGGGGUAAAGACUCACCAAGCCAACGAUCUGUAGCUGGUCUGAGAGGACGACCAGCCACACGGGGACUGAGACACGGCCAAGACUCCUACGGGAGGCAGCAGGGGGGAAUUUUGGACAAUGGACGCAAGUCUGAUCCAGCCAUGCCGCGUGCGGGAAGAAGGCCUUCGGGUUGUAAACCGCUUUUGUCAGGGAAGAAACGCUCUGGGUUAAUACCUCGGGGUAAUGACGGUACCUGAAGAAUAAGCACCGGCUAACUACGUGCCAGCAGCCGCCGUAAGAC